AAGUCGAGGGGAAACGGCAUUGAGUGCUUGCACUCUUUGGACGUCGACCGGCGCACGGGUGAGUAACGCGUAUCCAACCUUCCCAUUAUUGUGGGAUAACCUGCCGAAAGGCAGACUAAUACCGCAUAGUCUUCGAUGACGGCAUCAGAUUUGAAGUAAAGAUUUAUCGGUAAUGGAUGGGGAUGCGUCUGAUUAGCUUGUUGGCGGGGUAACGGCCCACCAAGGCGACGAUCAGUAGGGGUUCUGAGAGGAAGGUCCCCCACAUUGGAACUGAGACACGGUCCAAACUCCUACGGGAGGCAGCAGUGAGGAAUAUUGGUCAAUGGACGGAAGUCUGAACCAGCCAAGUAGCGUGCAGGAUGACGGCCCUAUGGGUUGUAAACUGCUUUUGUAUGGGGAUAAAGUUAGGGACGUGUCCCUAUUUGCAGGUACCAUACGAAUAAGGACCGGCUAAUUCCGUGCCAGCAGCCGCGGUAAUACGGAAGGUCCAGGCGUUAUCCGGAUUUAUUGGGUUUAAAGGGAGCGUAGGCUGGAGAUUAAGUGUGUUGUGAAAUGUAGACGCUCAACGUCUGAAUUGCAGCGCAUACUGGUUUCCUUGAGUACGCACAACGUUGGCGGAAUUCGUCGUGUAGCGGUGAAAUGCUUAGAUAUGACGAAGAACUCCGAUUGCGAAGGCAGCUGACGGGAGCGCAACUGACGCUAAGCU
rnacentral:rRNA from 1 species